rnacentral:lncRNA from 1 species
GAGAACUCUGAUAUGACUACAAGUAAAUUGACCGAAACGAAAAAUAAAGUGAACACAAGGAUUUACGUGGUUCGGCUUUAAUGCCUACGUCCACGGGCAGAGGCGAAAAGAAAAUUUCACUAUAACAAGAUGAAGAUUACAAGUGUUUUACACUCAAGACACAACCCGAGAACCUCACGACUCUCAACCCCUAUAGAAAACCCGAAAGCUAAAAUCCUAGCUUUCAAAGAACAAGCUUUGCUCUCUCUUGGUUUGGGAUGAUCAAUAUGGCUAAUGAACCUCUCUAUUUAUAAGAGAGUUCAAGGACAUAAUUGUCCAAAACUUUGGCAAAGAUUUGUGGUUGAAAAUGGACACCAACAACCAUCCACUAAUCCACUACCACCAACAACCCACUACCAACAACAACAAUCCACUACCAAUUUUAAGCCAUUUCUUAACAAAUCUCCACCUUGGCUUGAAAUUUACCAAGCUGAACAUCAUAGUGAAUUCCUCGAACUGGAUCACCUCUUCCAAACGCCUCUCUGGCGCUAAUCAAUCCCGAAUACCUAUCAAGUCCAAGCAAUGCUUGAACUUAUAUGCAGGGAUCACCUUAGUUAACAUAUCUGCAGGAUUCUUCUCGGUAGCAACCUUGCUGAUAACAAUGUCACCUUGCGUAACAUGUUCCCGAACAAAAUGAUAUCUGACAUCAAUGUGUUUGGUCCGUUCAUGAAACAUCUGAUUUUUAGUCAGAUGUAUGGCACUCUGGCUAUCGCAAAAUACAACAGUGAAAUCCUGUUGUAAACCCAAACUGCUUACUAGACCUUUCAUCCACAAUGCUUCUUUCACUGCUUCUGCUAACGCCAUAUAUUCCGCCUCAGUCGUAGAUAAGGCUACGGUAGACUGUAACACAGCUUUCCAACUAAUGGCUCCUCCAGAAUAAGUGAAAACAUAACCCGUCAGAGAUCUUCUUUUGUCCAGAUCUCCAGCAUAAUCAGAGUCCACAUAGCCCGUGACACUGCUAGUGCAGUCACUCUGAUCAUAUACCAAGCAUAAAUCUGCAGAACCUCUCAAGUACCUGAGAAUCCAUUUCACGGCCUGCCAGUGUUCCUUGCCAGGACAACUCAUGUAUCUGCUGACCACACUAACUGCAUGUGAAAUGUCUGGACGAGUGCAAACCAUUGCAUACAUCACGCUUCCAACUGCACUCGAGUAUGGAAUGUGAGACAUUUGCUGCUUUUCUUCAUCAGAUUGUGGUGACAACUCUGCAGAGAGUUUGAAAUGUGGUGCCAACGGAGUACUCACAGUUUUCGCUUUAUCCAUGCCGAAGCGUUGAAGAACCUUUUCAAUGUAGUUCUUCUGCGACACACGAAGCUUGCCCGCCUUGCGAUCUCUGUGAAUAUCCAUGCCCAAAAUUUUCUUGGCAGCACCCAGAUCCUUCAUCUCGAACUCACCACUCAACUGCGACUUUAACUUGUUGAUUUCCGACAUGUUUUUGGAAGCAAUUAACAUGUCAUCAACAUACAGCAACAAAUAAAUGUGCGAACCAUCUGAGAGCUUCCGAUGAUAGACACAAGCAUCAUAGUCACAUCUUGUGUAACCAUGCUGAAUCAUGAAGCUAUCAAACCGCUUGUACCACUGCCUUGGGGAUUGUUUCAAUCCAUAUAAAGACUUCUUUAAUAGACAGACAUGGUCUUCUUUACCAGGAACUGUAAAACCCUCUGGUUGGCGCAUGUAGAUUGUUUCCUCGAGCUCACCAUGCAAGAACGCUGUUUUUACGUCAAGCUGCUCAAGUUCUAGAUCAGACUUGGCCACCAUGGCAAGUAAUACACGAAUGGAAGAAUGCUUUACGACUGGGGAGAAAACUUCAUUGUAGUCAAUCCCCUCUUUCUGAGUGAAGCCUUUAGCAACCAAUCGUGCCUUGAAUCUAGUUGCUUCAACCCCUAGGAUGCCUUCCUUUUUCUUGAAGACCCAUUUGCAACCAACUAUCUUCUGGUUACUUGGCGGCUUAACCAACUCCCAAGUAUGGUUCUUGUGAAGAGAUUCUAUCUCCUCACUCAUAGCAAUUGCCCACUGUGCCGACUCAUCACACGUGACAGCCUCAUUAUAACUGGAAGGUUCUAUACCAAUGGACUCCGCCACACUGAGCGCGAAAGACACCAGAUUAGCGUAACGCGGAUUUGGUUUGAUUUGUCUCUUCGUUCUUCCAGUGGCAAUGCUAUAUGGUUUUUCUUGAGGUGACUCAUCUUCAUCGGAAUCUUGCACCUCAACUUGAUCAUCCUGGACUGAAGUACCUUCCGUAGGAAUUGGAGCGUCCACCUGACACUCCACCUGCUUCUCAACACCGUGAUCUCCCAUUCUAUCUGACUCCUCCUUUUCCCGGGAAUUUGUGGUGGAUCGAAGCAUGGAUGACUCAUCAAAAGUCACAUCUCUGCUGAUGAUGAACUUGGACGAAACCGGAUCAGGACACCACAACCUGUAUCCUUUCACCCCUUGGCCGUAUCCAAGAAAUAUGCAUUUCUUCGCCCUCGGUUUGAGUUUUCCCUCAUUUACAUGAGCAUACGCAGGGCAGCCAAACACUCUUAAACCAGAGUAAUCAGCAGGAGAACCAGACCAUACUUCCUCAGGAGUCUUCAGCUCAAUAGCUGUUGACGGAGAUCUGUUAACCAAAUAACAAGCAGUAUUAACAGCUUCAGCCCAAAAUUCUUCACCGAGCCCAGCAUUUGAUCGCAUGCAACGAGCUCGCUCCAAGAGAGUUCUAUUCAUGCGUUCUGCAACUCCAUUUUGUUGUGGUGUUCGACGAACAGUGCGGUGUCUCACUAUUCCUUCAUUUUUGCAGAACUCAUUGAAUUCACCUGAGCAAAACUCCAAGCCAUUAUCCGUCCGGAAUCGCUUGAUCUUCUUUCCUGUUUGAUUUUCGAUCAAAGCUUUAAAUUGCUUGAAGUUGAUGAGAACCUCAUACUUGCUCUUCAGAAAAUACACCCAAACCUUUCUCGAGUAAUCAUCGAUAAAGGUAAGCAGAUAUCUGUAACCACCUUUAGAAUUUGUCGGAGAAGGCCCCCAAAGGUCAGAAUGGAAGUAAUCCACUGUGCCUUUUGUCUUGUGAAUCCCAGUGCUGAACUUUACCCGAGUCUGCUUACCGAAGACGCAGUGCUCACAGAAAUUCAACUUUCCUGUACACUGCCCAGACAAUAAUCCUCGUUUGCUUAGCACCGAUAAGCCUCUCUCGCUCAUAUGCCCGAGCCGCAUAUGCCAUAACUUCGUGGUGUCAGAAUCUAGAUCAUCUGAUGAUGACACUCCCGCAACACCUGUAACCGAGGAACCAUCGAGGAAGUAAAGGCCCCGCUCCAAAUUACCACGUAUCACAGUCAAAGCACCCGAGAAUACCUUGAGAACUCCACCUUCAGCAGAGUACCGAAAGCCUUUCUUGUCCAACGUACUCAAAGAGAUCAAAUUUUUCUUCAUUUCUGGAAUGUGCCGAACAUCAGUUAGAGUUCUAACAAUACCGUCAAACAUCUUUAUACGAACUGUGCCAAUCCCCAUGACUUGACAUGCGUGGUCAUUUCCCAUUAGUACUGAACCAGAAUGCUUCUCGUAUGUUGAGAAUGCAUCUUUCGAAGUACUUAUAUGAAAUGUAGCUCCCGUAUCAAGAAUCCAUCUCCCACCAGCGUAAGAGUCGGAUACUGCAAGAACGAUCUCGGCAUCACUUGAAGAAUCUGCAUCAGCUACAUUCGCACGAUCAUUUUGUUGCUCCUGUGAUUCUGAUUUCUCCUUCCUUUUCGGACAAUCUACCUUCAUGUGCCCGUACUUCUUACAGUAGUAGCACUGUAUUCUCUUCUUGGACUGCGAUCUAGGAUGGCUUUUACUUGAACUUCCACCCUUUGCCUUGGAUCUUCCUCGAGCAACCAAGCCUUCGCCUUCAUUGUUUUCGACCACCUUACCAGUGAUUUUCUUCCUCAACUCACUGGAACUUAAGGCAUUUUUCACCUCCUCUAGAGUCAGGUCAUCACGACCGUACAUCAUUGUAUCAACAAAAUUCUCAUACGAGGGAGGCAAAGAACACAAAACAAUUAUUGCUUGGUCCUCAUCAUCGAUUUUGUUAUCGAUAUUAUUCAAAUCCAUGAUAAUGGAAUUGAAUUUAUCCAGGUGCUGGGAAACAGGUGUACCUUCCUCCAUCUUCAGGGCAUAGAGUCUUUGCUUGAGGUAGAGCCGGUUCGUCAAUGACUUCGUCAUGUACUUGCUCUCUAACCGGAGCCACAAACCGGACGCGGUUUUCUCAUCCGCUACUUCUCGUAGCACUUCAUCUCCUAGACAUAGCAGAAUAGCACUAUGUGCUCUUUCUAGCAUGUCAUCCUUUUGCUCUUCCGAAAGCGUGCUUGGUAAUUUAUCUUUACCAGACAAUGCUUUUAGCAAUCCUUGUUGAACCAGCACUGCCCGCAUCUUGAUGCGCCAUAAACUGAAACUAUUUUUCCCGGUAAAUUUCUCGACAUCAUACUUAGUCGAUGAAACACUUGUAGCCAUAAUUUGGAACCUUUGAAUGAAUGAUAAUAUUUUCUUCCUGAUGUGAAAGAUCAGACAAAGCUGCAGUCACAGGGCAAUUCAGAAAAUAUUAUCACUCCUUCAACUACGCUCUGAUACCAAUUUGUUGCGGAAAGGAUCGAUUCGAGAACUCUGAUAUGACUACAAGUAAAUUGACCGAAACGAAAAAUAAAGUGAACACAAGGAUUUACGUGGUUCGGCUUUAAUGCCUACGUCCACGGGCAGAGGCGAAAAGAAAAUUUCACUAUAACAAGAUGAAGAUUACAAGUGUUUUACACUCAAGACACAACCCGAGAACCUCACGACUCUCAACCCCUAUAGAAAACCCGAAAGCUAAAAUCCUAGCUUUCAAAGAACAAGCUUUGCUCUCUCUUGGUUUGGGAUGAUCAAUAUGGCUAAUGAACCUCUCUAUUUAUAAGAGAGUUCAAGGACAUAAUUGUCCAAAACUUUGGCAAAGAUUUGUGGUUGAAAAUGGACACCAACAACCAUCCACUAAUCCACUACCACCAACAACCCACUACCAACAACAACAAUCCACUACCAAUUUUAAGCCAUUUCUUAACA